AACGCACGAGACCUGCGGACCUGCGGAAGGAUCAUUAUCGAGUUUACAACUCCCAAACCCCUGUGAACAUACCUAUCGUUGCUUCGGCGGGAUCGUCCCGGCGCCCCCGGGCCCGGACCCAGGCGCCCGCCGGAGGACCCAAACUCUUGUUUUUACGGUGUAUCUUCUGAGUGACACGAGCAAAUAAAAUCAAAACUUUCAACAACGGAUCUCU
rnacentral:misc_RNA from 1 species